GCGAAAACUUUACAAUGCUGGCAACAGCGAUAAGGGAGCCUCGAGUGCCAGGUUACAAAUCUGGCUGUCGAGAUGCCUAAAAAGCAUUACAUAGCAAGGGCCGGGCAAGACCGGUGCCAGCCGCCGCGGUAACACCGGCGGCUCGAGUGGUAACCGUUAUUAUUGGGUCUAAAGGGUCUGUAGCCGGCCGGAUAAGUCUCUUGAGAAAUCUGGCAGCUUAACUGUCAGGCUUUCAGGAGAUACUGUCUGGCUCGAGGCCGGGAGAGGUGAGAGGUACUUCAGGGGUAGGGGUGAAAUCUUGUAAUCCUUGAAGGACCACCAGUGGCGAAGGCGUCUCACCAGAACGGACCUGACGGCAAGGGACGAAAGCUAGGGGCACGAACC
rnacentral:rRNA from 1 species